AUCAACGGCGGAGCGGUGUCGGCGAGCAGGCAAACGGUGCCACUGCACGAAGAGGUGUUCAGCGAAGUAUACUUUUUAGAUUUCGGGUGCGAGCGUGGCACGCGGGAGAAGGGAGAGGCCGCGUUGAAGCAGGCAGUCGAGGUCCAUCCGAACAAUAUCACGCUUGAGCUGAGAGUCUGGUAGCUUGUUGCCAGCGAAACAGCCGAUUCCAAUCAGGUGCAGCAAGAGAAACGGCGCAGUGCAACACAGGAGGACGGAACCACCAUCUUGAGAAAGUCGAGACACACCCAAACUACCUGGAGAUUCGUCAAUCAGCAAAACAUGGCCACGUUGUGGCAAGUACUAAAAUUAUGCAGUUAUUUUAUUGGUGACAAUAUCUUAUUUGAACUAUUUUGUAAUCCCUUAUCAAUUCAAGAUCUUAUUAGAACCGCUUUUGCAAUCUUUUAUUGAUGUAAGAUCAGGCACACCCAAACUACCUUAAGAUGUUGUAAUGCAGUUAUUUUAUUUAAACUAUUUGUAAUGUAUUUUGGUCAAAUUUAGGAUCUACUUGUUGGAAUGAUGAUGCUACAGUACCUUACUAAGCUAUCCAUAUUGUUAU